UGGCAGCGCGGAAGGAUUUAGUUACGUUCUAAAGGAAUUAGGUUACAUGGCGAUCUAGAAGUUACUGGCUGCUCUUUUGUGCUCGUAUUUAUAUUGCACGAAUUGAAUGGAACCACAAGAGCGAUUAGCCUACGUUACUAAAUAAAACAACAGCUUGACUUUUGCUUGAAGUAUUGUUUGGAAUCGGUGUUGGGCCUCAACGACUUAGGAUUAUGUUGAGCCAAGAAACGACCAAGAUCUCGACAGAGAGGCAGCCCUAAAAAGAGAAACAUAGUGACGUAAAAUAAGGUACCUAAUACUUCUGGCGCACUUUACAGAUAGAGAGGCUGUGCCUGAUGUGCCAUUGCAACCGUCAUGCCAACCGUCUCCAUCUCCUCCAUCCUCGUCUGUCGAUUCGCUGCCUCAUUCAGGGUCUCCUGCAGGUGCAUGAUGUAAUUGAUGGCCGAGCGAAGCGU